CACGGUUCAAUGAAUCCAUUAAAAUUUGAUCUAAUGCGCCAAUACAAACUUUUCAGAAGAUAUUUGUUUGUCCUUAAAGAAAAGAAAAUUACAUAUACACACUGCAAAAUAUUACAACAAACCUACUACUAAAUCCUUUUUACAAUCAUUUUUUGAUAGUAACAUUUUACACAAAAGAAAAGAAACACCACGACAAACUCGAAAUUACAGACAUUUCUAGAAAAAAAUACAGGAGCAAAACACACAUAACUUCAAUCUAUAGGAAGUCCCGGAGAACGCCAUGUGCUGCUUUCCAAGCGCAACCGGUCCGCUCAGUGCCGCCUAGUGCUCGACGAAUGGAACCGGAGAACACCAUGUGCUGUUUUGCCUUUCUGGAGGAAGACAUGCAAGGUAAUGGAUAAGUUAAAAGAAAGGUUAGUGUAGCGGGACAAACAUCACGGUCAAAGCGUCGGCAUAGAUCUGCGAGGCGAUGGAGCGGGCAUGUUCCCCACGCGGGAGAUGUAGGGAACGAAGAAGGCCUUGCGGAUCCCGUAGGAGCAGGCGCGGGCGCAGCACGAGGCCAGGAGACUUGGUCGGCGGGCUCUUAGGACGGCAAACUUGAAGGCGAGCUGGUCGACGGCGAAGAGCACGACAAGAGCUUGAGGGCAUGCUGAGGUUGAUGGAGAAGCCGACGAUGAGGACGGCGUACACGACGGACUCGGGAACCUCGGCGACGAAGGGCGGCGGCGUCCCACCACGGCGCAAUCCGUGGCGGCAUUGGUCUGGCGCCGGCUCGGCGCAGCCCCCUUGGCCACCGCGGCACGACCCUAUAGGGCCGCUCAGGGCGGCACCACCGGAUGGAGAGGUGGAAGCCUAGAUUAGGGGAAGAAACUGGUGGCUGGGAACGAGCGGCUCAGAGAGUGGUGGGAGAUACGCGCGGUCGUGGAUCGGGAAGGAUCUGGAAGACGAGAGAAUUGGGAGUUUGUUGCUGCGUUGAAGAUAAGCCGGCUGCAGCGGCUGGAUAGGUGUGUGCUUGCCGUUGGAUCUAGAGGAGUAAACGGUGUGGAUGGUCGAUCCGUGGGAUGGUUGGAUGGACCAAUCAAAACGCUAGAUUUGCCUCACGCAGGAUCGCUAUCUGUGGC
rnacentral:rRNA from 1 species